GACGAACGCUGGCGGCGCGCCUAACACAUGCAAGUCGAACGAGCGAGAGAGAGCUUGCUUUCUCGAGCGAGUGGCGAACGGGUGAGUAACGCGUGAGGAACCUGCCUCAAAGAGGGGGACAACAGUUGGAAACGACUGCUAAUACCGCAUAAGCCCACAGGUCGGCAUCGACCAGAGGGAAAAGGAGCAAUCCGCUUUGAGAUGGCCUCGCGUCCGAUUAGCUGGUUGGUGAGGUAACGGCCCACCAAGGCGACGAUCGGUAGCCGGACUGAGAGGUUGAACGGCCACAUUGGGACUGAGACACGGCCCAGACUCCUACGGGAGGCAGCAGUGGGGAAUAUUGCACAAUGGGGGAAACCCUGAUGCAGCGACGCCGCGUGGAGGAAGAAGGUCUUCGGAUUGUAAACUCCUGUUGUUGAGGAAGAUAAUGACGGUACUCAACAAGGAAGUGACGGCUAACUACGUGCCAGCAGCCGCGGUAAAACGUAGGUCACAAGCGUUGUCCGGAAUUACUGGGUGUAAAGGGAGCGCAGGCGGGAAGACAAGUUGGAAGUGAAAUCUAUGGGCUCAACCCAUAAACUGCUUUCAAAACUGUUUUUCUUGAGUAGUGCAGAGGUAGGCGGAAUUCCCGGUGUAGCGGUGGAAUGCGUAGAUAUCGGGAGGAACACCAGUGGCGAAGGCGGCCUACUGGGCACCAACUGACGCUGAGGCUAGAGAAGUGUGGGUAGCAAACAGG
rnacentral:rRNA from 1 species